rnacentral:rRNA from 1 species
AACGAACGCUGGCGGCAGGCUUAACACAUGCAAGUCGAGCGGACCCUUCGGGGUCAGCGGCGGACGGGUGAGUAACGCGUGGGAAUCUACCCAUCUCUACGGAAUAACGCAUGGAAACGUGUGCUAAUACCGUAUACGUCCUUCGGGAGAGAGAUUUAUCGGAGAUGGAUGAGCCCGCGUUGGAUUAGCUAGUUGGUGGGGUAAAGGCCUACCAAGGCGACGAUCCAUAGCUGGUCUGAGAGGAUGAUCAGCCACACUGGGACUGAGACACGGCCCAGACUCCUACGGGAGGCAGCAGUGGGGAAUAUUGGACAAUGGGCGCAAGCCUGAUCCAGCCAUGCCGCGUGAGUGAUGAAGGCCCUAGGGUUGUAAAGCUCUUUCACCGGUGAAGAUAAUGACGGUAACCGGAGAAGAAGCCCCGGCUAACUUCGUGCCAGCCGCCGCAGUAAAAC